rnacentral:piRNA from 1 species
UCUGUUUGACAGGAAUGCUCCGAAUACAGAA